AUGGAGGAUGGCAGGAAGAAAUUACACUGGAGAUCUUGGGAGUGGUUGUCCUCUCCGAAAUAUCUUGGGGGGAUGGGCUUUCGAGACAUGCAAUUAUUUAAUCAAGCCAUGCUUGCUAAGCAAUGUUGGCGACUGUUAUUAGAGCCCCUCUCUCCGUGUCACCGUGUAAUGAAAGGGAGAUAUUUUCCCGAUGGAGACUUUUGGAGCUCAAAAUGCCCAAGAGCAGCAUCCUACACAUGGCAAAGCAUUAUGUAUGGGAAGGAGCUCUUGCGGAGAGGAUUGCUAUGGAGAGUUGGAAACGGAAAACAAAUUUCUAUCAUCCGGGAUAACUGGAUACGAGACACCAUACAUGGGACAAUGCAAACAUUAAUUCCAAUGGAAGAUAACCAAACAUUGAGCUCUCUAUUCUCUAGUAACGGCCCCGCUUGA
rnacentral:rRNA from 1 species